rnacentral:lncRNA from 1 species
UAGUCAGCCAGUGGAAAGAUUUAGACAGAGAGAUAUGACCAGACUUGUGUUUUAGAAGAAUGGCUUUGGCAGCUGUAUGAGCAAAGGGCUUUCAGGAAGGAAGAACAAAUGCAGGGAGACAAGGUAAGAAGCUGCUGCAAUAGUCCAGAGCACAUGCUGUCCCAGGAGAGGUCCAGUUGGGAGGGGCUGGAGAGGUGCUAAGCCAAGAGGAUCCAGGGAGAGCAGAGGCAGCUCAACAAGAAGGGGUGUUAAGGGCCUUGCUCAGAAGAAGGCUGGCUCCGAGGAGCACAGAGCGGUUUGGCUGGAAGAUGAAGAAACCAAGGCACAGACUCAUGUCCAGGACCCUAAAACCAGUGCAUGGUGGAGCCAGCAUUCAAACCCAGCACACGGGACGCCAGAGUCCAUGCUCCUAACCACUACAUUGUGAUGCCUUGAAACUCAUGGCAGAGAAGAGUUUGAGAGAAAGGUUUCAGAAAGACAAAAGUAGAAAUCCUGAAAGACUCUGAGCAUAAAGUUAAUGCUGCAGCAAUAGAUUUAGAAAAAUGAUGCAUGAUGAUCUAAGUGGAAGGUGUGACAUACCCCCAAAGAAAUGCUGAAUUCCCCAGGUAGGGUGGGGAUCCAAACAAAGGGAGACUUGUGCCUCAUUUCCUUAGUGGAACCGAAGGAGCAACAAGCCUCCCCUUGCUCUCUCUCUAUACCUCCACCAGUCACAGGCAGAGAAAGUAAAGGUGGGGCCUGCUGAGCACGUCAGAGCAGAAUGGGCAUGGCAUAGCUCCGUCAAGUCUCCCAGAGCUCCAGAGCAGCACAAAAAGGCAUCCAAAUAUUUCCUGUGCUUCCCUGUCCUCUCACCUCAAGAGGGAUGCAAAAGACAAGGCUGGAGUGACCUCAAGCAGUCUAGCAGUCUUGAAAGUUGUAUGAACUGGAAACACAAGUCCAGAGGAGAACAAGGCCAUCUUGAGGAUACCAGCAAGGAUAGAUCACUAUGCCCGGAAGCCAAUAGGAGCCAUCACAAAUAAACAAGAAUUUCUGAGGACAAAGGUCCCCCUCUUGAUAGACAUCAAAGUAUGAUGACUUAAGGCCCCAGAACUUAGAGGCAACUCAGGGAGAAAAUGGUGGGGGAAAAAAAACUCCGGAACAGACUUAAUAAAUAAUUGACCAAAGGUAGCCUGAGUUGAAUAUGAUUGAAAUUAAGUUCAGUUACAGAAUAAUGUUAUAUUUGUUUUUUGCACAGAGGAUUUUGCAGCCUGAGACUUUUACCUGCUUGGCUAUAAAGAAAUAAAACUUGUUUACCUUUGCAAACAG